rnacentral:tRNA from 1 species
GCGGGAAUAGCUCAGUUGGUUGAGCGCAACCUUGCCAAGGUUGAGGUCGCGAGUUCGAGUCUCGUUUCCCGCUCCA